rnacentral:rRNA from 1 species
GACGAACGCUGGCGGCGUGCUUAACACAUGCAAGUCGAACGGAAAGGCCCUGCUUUUGUGGGGUGCUCGAGUGGCGAACGGGUGAGUAACACGUGAGUAACCUGCCCUUGACUUUGGGAUAACCUCAGGAGACUGGGGCUAAUACCGGAUAGGAGCUCCUGCUGCAUGGUGGGGGUUGGAAAGUUUCGGCGGUUGGGGAUGGACUCGCGGCUUAUCAGCUUGUUGGUGGGGUAGUGGCUUACCAAGGCUUUGACGGGUAGCCGGCCUGAGAGGGUGACCGGCCACAUUGGGACUGAGAUACGGCCCAGACUCCUACGGGAGGCAGCAGUGGGGAAUAUUGCACAAUGGGCGGAAGCCUGAUGCAGCAACGCCGCGUGCGGGAUGACGGCCUUCGGGUUGUAAACCGCUUUCGCCUGUGACGAAGCGUGAGUGACGGUAAUGGGUAAAGAAGCACCGGCUAACUACGUG